ensembl:lncRNA
GAUCGACACCGUUACGAACAACAGACACAAUGGAGAAAGUCACUUUCUGCUUCUGUGUUUUUUCUUGUUGGAUUAUGCAAACCACAUACAGUGAUGUCUCUCCAGAUGCGUCAGUACGAGGGUCUUCUGAUCUGCUGAGGGUUCAGAUGGGAGAAAACAUCAGUCUGAACUGCAGCAUGAGAAACCAAUAUGAAGUCGCCUGGUAUCACCUGAGAUCUGAACAACUGGAUCUACUGACUGCUGCAGAGAAGGAUGACACAGGAAGAAAACUCCUGAUCAACUACAAUCAAAACAAAAGUCGUCUGAAAAUGACUGCAGACACAUGGAUCACCACAGUUUCUCUAGUUAUUUCUGGAGUCACAGAGUCAGAUUCAGGUCUUUAUUUCUGUGGAACAAAGUCUGACGCUCCAGAGAUGUUCUUCAGCAAAUCCAUCAGACUAGAGAUCGAGGGUCUUUCUGCAACAGAAAAGCCAAAAGAAGUUGACAUCACAGAUGGAGUGACUACAAAAGAGAGGGCAUUAAUGUUCAGUGGUGUUGGUCUGGCUAUUGCUGUGUUUUUUCUGGCUACAGUCAUUGCAGGAGGAAUCAUUCACUAUUGCGGCUGGCAGAAAGGAUGGAGCGCAGCCAAACGCUCAGCUCUGAUUCAGCACAAAUAACUUAUUUUUCUGCUUUAUUUUACAGUCUAACUCAAUAUCACUGAGCUUUGCUUUGCAUUGCUGUAGCUCACCACGAAAUAAAACAGAAAACUGUGGCCUAGAUGCA